UUGCAGGUUUCCUAUUUUGAAAUCUACUUGGACAAGAUCAGAGACCUGCUGGACGUGUCGAAGACGAACCUCGCCGUGCAUGAAGACAAAAACAGAGUGCCGUAUGUCAAGGGUUGCACUGAGCGUUUCGUGUCCAGUCCGGAGGAGGUGAUGGACGUCAUAGAUGAGGGCAAAAACAACCGGCACGUGGC